rnacentral:rRNA from 1 species
GAUGAACGCUGGCGGCGUACCUAAUACAUGCAAGUCGAGCGAACAGACGAGGAGCUUGCUCCUCUGACGUUAGCGGCGGACGGGUGAGUAACACGUGGAUAACCUACCUAUAAGACUGGGAUAACUUCGGGAAACCGGAGCUAAUACCGGAUAAUAUAUUGAACCGCAUGGUUCAAUAGUGAAAGACGGUUUUGCUGUCACUUAUAGAUGGAUCCGCGCUGCAUUAGCUAGUUGGUAAGGUAACGGCUUACCAAGGCGACGAUGCGUAGCCGACCUGAGAGGGUGAUCGGCCACACUGGAACUGAGACACGGUCCAGACUCCUACGGGAGGCAGCAGUAGGGAAUCUUCCGCAAUGGGCGAAAGCCUGACGGAGCAACGCCGCGUGAGUGAUGAAGGUCUUCGGAUCGUAAAACUCUGUUAUUAGGGAAGAACAAAUGUGUAAGUAACUAUGCACGUCUUGACGGUACCUAAUCAGAAAGCCACGGCUAACUACGUG